rnacentral:rRNA from 1 species
UACGGAGGGUGCGAGCGUUGUCCGGAAUCACUGGGCGUAAAGGGCGCGUAGGCGGCGCGGGAAGUCAACGGUGAAAGCUUGGGGCUCAACUCCGAGUCGGCCGUCGAUACUCCCGUGCUCGAGCACUGUAGAGGCAGAUGGAAUUCCGGGUGUAGCGGUGGAAUGCGUAGAGAUCCGGAAGAACACCGGUGGCGAAGGCGGUCUGCUGGGCAGCAUCUGACGCUGAGACGCGAAAGCGUGGGGAGCAAACAGG